rnacentral:rRNA from 1 species
UGGGGAAUCUUGCGCAAUGCGCGAAAGCGUGACGCAGCAACGCCGCGUGGAGGAAGACGGCCUUCGGGUUGUAAACUCCUUUCAGUUGGGACGAAGCUUCGUCGGUUAAUAGCCGACUGGAGUGACGGUACCUUCAGAAGAAGCCCCGGCUAACUACGUGCCAGCAGCCGCGGUAAUACGUAGGGGGCAAGCGUUGUCCGGAAUCAUUGGGCGUAAAGCGCGUGUAGGCGGCCUUGUAAGUCCGUUCUGAAAGCCCGGGGCUCAACCCCGGGAGGCGGAUGGAUACUGCAAGGCUCGAGUCCGGAAGAGGCAAGUGGAAUUCCCGGUGUAGCGGUGAAAUGCGCAGAUAUCGGGAGGAACACCAAUGGCGAAGGCAGCUUGAUGGGACGGUACUGACGCUGAGACGCGAAGCGUGGGGAGCAAACAGGAUUAGAUACCCUGGUA